rnacentral:rRNA from 1 species
GCUAAAAACUUAGCCUUANCUCUAUAAUUAUACUUACCCUAUUUUAUUUACACAAAACAAAACAUUCUUAAAACUUAGUAAAGGAGAUAAAAAAGUUUUUUAGAGCUAUAAAACAAGUACCGCAAGGGAAAAAUGAAAUAAAAAUGAAACAAAAUUCAAGCAUAAUAUAGUAGAGUUUUACCCUCGUACCUUUUGCAUCAUGAUUCAACUAGUUUAACCACGCAAAAAGAAUUUAAGUUUGACUUCCCGAAACUAAGUGAGCUACUUAAGAGCAGCUAAAAGAGCCAACCCGUCUCUGUUGCAAAAGAGUGGGAUGACCCUUAAGUAGAGGUGAUAAGCCUAACGAACUUAGUGAUAGCUGGUUAUUCAGGAAAAGAAUUUUAGUUCAACUUAAAAUUACAUAAAUAAAAUAAAAUAAAAUUUUAAUUUUAAAGCAAUUCAAAUAAGGUACAGCCUAUUUGAAAUAGAAUACAAUCUAAACUAUAGGGUAAAUAUNAAAAAUUAAUGUAAUAAAGUAGGCCUAAAAGCAGCCAACUUUUAAACAGCGUCAAAGCUUAAUUCCAUUACUUUUUAAUACCAUUAUUUAUAAUGAACCCUUCAUUCCCACUGAAUAUUUCUAUAAAAUUAUAGAACCUUUUAUGUUGAAACUAGUAACAAGAAGUUAAACUUCUCCUAAAUAUAAGUAUAAGUCGACUAGGAUAAACCAUCGACAAUUAACGCUAAAAUUAAAUAUAUUAACCCCGCAAGAAAAACUUACAUUAUCCCACGUUAAUCUUACACCAGAAUAUUUAAGGAAAGAUUNAAAAAA